AUGGCUUGGCAAAGGAAAGACAAGAUGCUAACAAACAAGAAUACUUCGCUACGAGAGAGCAGCAGCGGCGGCAGCAGAGACAGGAACUGCUUGCAGGGGCUGCCAUUUCUUCUGUCCCCCAGGCCCUCGUGCGUAGCUGUGACAUCACUGUUGCCUACACGUCCGUGCAG
rnacentral:lncRNA from 1 species